rnacentral:rRNA from 1 species
UGGGGAAUAUUGCACAAUGGGGCGAAAGCCUGAUGCAGCAACGCCGCGUGAGCGAUGAAGGCCUUCGGGUCGUAAAGCUCUGUCCUCAAGGAAGAUAAUGACGGUACUUGAGGAGGAAGCCCCGGCUAACUACGUGCCAGCAGCCGCGGUAAUACGUAGGGGGCUAGCGUUAUCCGGAUUUACUGGGCGUAAAGGGUGCGUAGGUGGUUUCUUAAGUCAGGAGUGAAAGGCUACGUCUCAACCGUAGUAAGCUCUUGAAACUGGGAAACUUGAGUGCAGGGGAGGAAAGUGGAAUUCCUAGUGUAGCGGUGAAAUGCGUAGAUAUCAGGAGGAACACCGGUGGCGAAGGCGGCCUGCUGGACAGUAACUGACGCUGAGGCUCGAAAGCGUGGGGAGCAAACAGGAUUAGAUACCCUGGUAGU